UUCUACUUUUGAAUGAUUGGUGUAAACUUAACCGUUUAAUAACAGGGAAUCAGGUGAAAAUCCUGAACAGACCCGCUGCUGUAAGUUCUAUAGUUUCUGAAAAGAUAAUAUAAAUUCACUAUUUGAAAGAAUGGGAAGGAUUUUUCAGAAAGAGCAAGUCAGAAGACCUACCAAUUUUAUGAAUAUUGU
rnacentral:ncRNA from 1 species